rnacentral:sRNA from 1 species
AACAAAUUUUGUAAGAGUUUAUUUGGGAACCCGAUAUUUACAUACAAAAUACCCGUUUUUAUU